AGAGUAUAGCUCAGUGGCAGAGCACAUGCUUAGCAUGCAUGAGGUCAUGGGUUUGAUCCCCAGUAGCUCCA
rnacentral:tRNA from 1 species